rnacentral:lncRNA from 1 species
UUUCAACUUGUAGAAAAUACUGAUGCUUUUGAGAGAUGAAAUCCCAGUGAGCAUCUCUUUCCUAGCGGAGGUCAUCCCUCUGCCUCCCUCCUCCUCCACCUGUUCACUGACUGGCAGGCACACGCUGAGACCUGUUUAUUAAGAAACAGUAUCAGAGAAGGCUUUCGGCACAGUCUGUCCGAGUGAUCUCAGCCCUUGGAUCAGCAGGCAGCAGCUGUACGUUGAUUGGAGUAAGAACCUCUUCGUCACCGCCCUGUUUAUCUCGCUGGUUCUGCAGCUGCUGCGUUUCGGAGCCUGUUGUGCUGGAGGGCAGGGCAGGAGGUCAGGUCGGGUGCUCGGUGUGUGAUUUUAUAGUGCUUGGUUAUUAAUGAGCAAAUUAGUACCGUGUCCUAGUAAAGUCGAUGACUAAACUCCUUGCAUAAAAGUGUCCGAUCUAUUUAGGAAAUACUGAAUAUACUGCAGUGACAUACACAAAGCCUUCAUGGAACCAGUAAAAGGGAGGAAUAAGCCAGACAAAGAUGGCAGUUUCCUUAGAAAAAGGUGCGUGGGUGCUGAAAGCAGUUAUUUGUUCUGAAAACAUUUAUUGAACACCGACUCUGGGCUCCAGGCCAGUUGACAGCAGAGUGACUGACGCAUUACAGAGCCUACCCACUUUCAAGUUCUACAAAUGUGUGUCAUUUAGAAGGUACUGCCGUGUCCUGGAUUAAUCUCAGUACAUUUAUGCCCGGGACGCAGCCUCCUCCACCGUGGCUAGCAAGCGUCCUCUCCUCUUUGGCAUUCAUGGAUGAGCUGUGAGAAGCUCUUUGCCAGCUCAUUUGACUUGAACCUGAGGAGGAACUGUGUACACUUAACAACAUUUCUAACUCUGUGAUAAAUUCGCCAAAUUAUAGUAUGUGCCUUCCUCCACAUAGAAUGCAUUAGAAAUGUGUUUUGCCUACGUGGAAUGGCUCUUAACAGGUCAGUCUGAAGAUAAAGCCCAGCUUCCUCCCGCCUCUCCUGUCUCUAGAGGAUCUGCUGAGUGUGCAGAUGGGGUGCAUAGAGAUGGGAGAGGAGAGGUGGCCUCCAGGUGGCCUCCAGGUAGCCUCCACCCACUAACUGGGGACGCCCCUCGAACCUGGAUGGAACAAAAACAGGUAUCAACACACAUUUGUUACAUGGAAAACUGCUGAAGGCAAACUCCGACUCCGGCCUUCAAACCUUAGAGAAUCAAGGUCUUGAGCAAUCUAGAGUGACCCCAGCACCUUGACGGAAGGAAGCACCCUCAUCUUCACCUUUGUGAGGUACGUCGCUGCCCCGGUGAGUAACUGCAUCUCAGACCGUUUAGUCUCCUUCUCCAACUAUGUCGACUCCAUGCAACUCCUAAGCCUCCGCCUUUUCUGAAUACUCCUUGGCUCUUGCUCCUUCUGCGGUCAGCUAAGUGUGGGAAGAUGGGACACCCUUGAGUGUUUCUGAGCCGUGGGUUCUGUCCUCUCACUAUCCAUUUUCUGUAUACAUCUGCAUGGCCGGCGUUUCUGCUGCUUUCUGUGUGAUUCUCAGGUCAGCAUCUCUGUCCCCACUAGUCUCAAGCUUUAGUCCUGCGUCUCCAGCCGACCGUCCAGAGGGCCUAUCACAUUCAGUGGGUCUAAGAGGAACCCAUCCUCUCCAGGUUGCCUCCUGCCCCCCGUUAUUAUUAUGGGCACCCCACGCUCUCGUUCAGUCUCACCCCAACAUCAAGAGGCGUUAUCAGCAGUCCAACCUAAUCAAGUGUCUGCCACCACUGUACACUAGGUAGGUCCUCACCUUCAGGAAGCUCCCAGCUCGACACCCCACUGUCUGACUCCUAUCUGGACAGUGCUGCCCUGCACCUCCCAUCGUUCCCUCGGUAAUGCCGCUCCCCCGGACCUGCACUCCCGGCUCUGCCUCCUGCCUGCAGUCCCGCCCCUAGUGCAUAUCUGUGGCUCCGACCAGGCUUCCCUUCUCCACCCACUGGCUUCAAGACCCGCCACAGGUGUCAUCCACUUCUCCAGCCUGUCCUGAUCCGGCCCCCAGAAGCAAUCUCUCCAUUUUCUGAAUUUUCGUAGCAUUCUCUGUGCUCAUCAAAGUCUACUUGUGUUUUGGGGUAUGUCACUUUCCCCAUUCAACCCUAGGACCUCUGAAGGGAACCUUCAUGUUUGUAUUCCUAUAGCACCAGGACAGUGCCAGGCACAAGGAAGGUACAGCUUGCUCGCUCGCUCGCUCUCUCUCUCUCUCUCUAUCUCUAUCCCCCUCUUUCUCUCUCUCCUCUUUUUAAAGUGGAGACAGGGUCUUGCUUUGUCACCCAGGAUGGAGUACAGUGGCACAAUGAAAGCUCACUGCAGCCUUGACCUCCUGGGCUGAAGUGAUCCUCCUGCCUCAGACUCCUGAGUAGCUAGGACUGCAGGUCCAUAUCACCAUGCUCAGCUAACAGGAUUCUUAAAUGAAUACAAAUGAGCAGACCACACCCAGGCAAGAACCCGUGUUCUGAAGGCCUCAGGUAUAUCCCAGGACGAAGGUGUCUGAACAGGGAUGCUCUCCUGUGGCUAUACCCCACCCCCUGCACUUGUGGUUCCCUUGACUCCCUGCACUGCAUUCAGUAGAUGAGACCUCAUCACCCACCUAGCUUGAAAGCUUGAUUCUGAAUUCGUCUGCAUGUCUCCCUAGGUCUUCCUUGUAACUGUCCCCUGGCCACUGGGAUCUCAGCGGACUCAUUCCCAGGGCCUUGUUUUCAAGUCUUCCUUGACCAAAGGGUGGUUGUAGGAUUAAAUGAACUGUGGCUCAGCAAAAUACCUGACAGCAGGCGUGCAAUGCAUUUUUCUUCUCUCCCUCCACACGUACAAGAGGAGAAAAUGAAAAGGAAGUGCUGCGGAGGAUUUUUAGGGCAAGGAAAUUAUGAUCCUAGAAUGCUGGACACAUGGCGUCGUAUAUCUGUCCAAACCCAUAGAAUGUGCAUGUGAACCGUAACAUAACUGUGGCUGUGGGGAUGAUAAUGUGGCGAUGUAGCUUGAUCCAUUGUCACAAAUGUACCACUCUGGUGGGGGGUGUUGGUAGUGGAGGAGGCUGUGCCUGAGUGUAGGAGAGGUGGUACAUGGGCAUUCUCUGUACCUUUUAAUUUUGCUGUGAACCUAAAGUGGUUCUAAGAAAAUAAAGUCAAUGCUGGACACGUUGGCUCAUAUCUGUAAUCCCAGCUGUAUUCAUUUUCAUGCUGCUGAUGAACACAUAUCCGAGACUGGGAAAUUUACUAGAGAAAUUUAAUUGGACUUAGAGUUCCAUGUGGUUGGGGAAGCCUCACAAUCAUGGUGGAAGACAAGGAGGAGCAAGUCCUGUCUGACAUGGAUGGCAGCAGGCAAAAAGAGAGCUUGUGCAGGGGAACUCCCCUUUUUAAAACCAUCAGAUCUUGUGAGAUCCAUUCGCCAUCACAAGAACAGCACAAGAAAGACCCGACCCCAUGAUUCAAUCACCUCCCACCUGGCCCCCCCCCGCCCCAACACGUGGGAAUUGUGAGAGUUACAAGAUGAAAUUUGAGUGGGGACACAGAACCAAACUAUAUCAUCAGCACUUUGGGAGACCAAGGCAGGAGGAUAGCUUGAGGCCAGGAGUUCAAGAGUGGCCUGGGCAAUAAAGUGUGACCUCCAACCUGGGCAAUGUGGUGAGACCCCAUCUGUUACAAAAAAUAAAAAUUAGCUAGGCGUGGUGGCACACACCUGUGGUCUCAGCUACUUGGGAGGCUGAGGUGGGAGGAUCACUUGAGCCCAGGAGGUCGAGACUGCAGUGAGCCAUGUUUGUGCCAUUGCACUCCAGCCUGGGUGACAGAGCAAGACCCUGCUUCAGAAAAAAGAAAGUCUUUUUCAAAAAUGCCAAGUGCUCCUCACGUGAUACUAGGGAACCCAGUCCUGGUCAGGAGGGUAGCUUCCAUCCUCUCUCCGAUGAGGGACUGGCACCAGCAGGCCCCGUCCUCUGAAGAGCCAUCCCUAAGGCUCCUGAGCCACUUUUUACCUGCUCCUGUGACUGUCACCCAGGACCAACAGGCUCCAGGAUGUGCCACAGGAAGGUGUGUCCAGGUCAUCCUGGAGACAGCAGAGUCCCAGGGAGGUUCAGGGCUUGCCACUGGAAGUGGUAACCUGUGCAGGCCCUGGGGCAGGACUGAGGUGUGGGCACAGUGACUCAGACUGCUCAGGUGACAGGCUUCAGGUCCUGCCCUUGCCCAGGACUCCUAGGCAGCCCCAAUAGAGCAAGUUAAUUGCAAUUUAGCCUGGAGGGAUUGCAAAAUCCUGCUGCGAUGGGCAAGGCCCUUGCAAUCUGCGAUGAACAAUUGAUGUUAACUGAACUGGAAGAGGGACAAUCGGAGUGUAUUCGGGAGACAUGAGCCAGUAGGUCUUCCAAAUCAGGGGACCCUUCCCAGCAUUCAUCCCUGAAACAAGCAGUCCUGCUCAGCACAGCCCCGUAAGAGCCGCAUUCUUACGCUCCUCAUUUUGUAGGUGGAGAGACAGACUCAGAGUCAGUAAGUACCUUGGCCAGGCUCACCAGUUCAUAAAGGGGUGGCAGAAGGGUGUAACCUCCAUCACCCCAGGCUGUCCCCCGCCCCAGGACUAACCCCUUUUCAUCCUAAAGAUGUGAUGGGGACUAUGUUUGAUUUUUGUUUUUAAUAAUUGAAUUUCUUCUUCGUGUUAUUUAGUCCAUUUUGGCAUGUAGUGUACCUUUGUGCCAACUGCAGUGUAAUUCAUGAGUUAGAGGAGAGAUAUAGAAAAUGCUGCGGGAAAACACCAUCAGAUGUGUUCAUUCAGCCAUUCGUUCCACAAGCUUCAGUGGUGAAGGCUCUGUGCUAGGGGCUGGGAAUACAGGUGUGAAAAGACAUGGUCCCAGUCCUCAAGAGCUCACCAUUUAGCUAACUGUGUCACUAAAGUUGGAAAAACAAAGCCAUGUGCCUCCUUUGGAUAGUCACAAUUUUAUGUAUCCAAAUUCAAAAGGACGCUCUCAGCCUUAAGAGGGUUUUCAAGCCAAGGAAUGCUCAUUUGGUGUCCAAGGGCAGUGAAACCUCUGUGCGUGGAUGCACGGGUGUGAAAGCUCGGAGUUUAGAAGAAGCUUGUGCCCGAGUACAUUUUUAUCCUCACAGUGAAGUUCAGGAAUGAUGACUUUGAACCCCUUUGCUGGGGUUUGACUUUUGUGUUUUGUCUUUUGAGUUUUGCUUCAUGGACCUUGGAUUUUAGAACUGAAAGGAAGCUUAGAAAUUUCACCAGAGAGGUGCAAAACAAGGCAAUGAUUUGAUGCAGAACAACCGCAGACAGAAGAAAAGGGGUGGGUGGCAUCUUGUGACCUCUCCCUGGGCUGGGGUCUUCUUCUGGCUCGUUGCUGAGGGGUGCCAGGCAGCAAAGACCACUUGGCUGCAACUCUACUGACUGUGACACUAUGUGAGUCUUGAGUUUCGGGAACCCCAGUCCCUGCAUUUUUCAUUCCUAGUGUUUGACCAGGAUGGUGGGAAGAGGUUAUGGUAACCAAAGAGGCUACCUGAUAUGUAUGUCUCGUUAUCAUUACUAAUCCUUUAUUGCGCUAGAUGUUUUAGAAGUAUUUUCUAGACCCGGUGCAGUGGCUCACACCUGUAAUCCCAGCACUUUGGGAGGCUGAGGCGGGCGGAUCACGAGGUCAAGAGAUGAAGACCAUCCUGGCCAACAUGGUGAAACCCCAUCUCUACUAAAAAUACAAAAAUUAGCUGGGCAUGGUGGUGCGUGCCUGUAAUCCCACCUACUCAGGAGGCUAAGGCAGGAGAAUUAUGUGAACCGAGGAGGCAGAGGUUGCGGUGAGCUGAGAUCACACCACUGCACUCCAGCCUGGUGACAGAGCAACCCUCCAUCUUAAAAAAAAAAAAAAAAAGAGAAAUAUUUUCUAAUUUGUUUUCAGAGCAAUGUAUAGGUAAUUAUGAUUACUCUGAUUCUGGGUAUGAAAAAAAAUGGGACUCUGGUUGAUUGACAUUUUCUCAAGGUUACACAGCUGGCAAACAGCCAGGUCAGGACUGGAGCCCACACCUGCGUGACUCUAAAGUGCCCACUCUUCUGUGCUGCAAGAGCCUCCCAACUAUUCCUUAGGGUCAUUAUGUGAACAUGUUGUGGGGGAAAGCACAACGUAUUCAUCAUUCAGGGCUUAGUUCAGCAGCCACCCGCUUCCCUGACACCCUGGUCUGGGCUGGAUGUCCCUCUUCUGCACUCCUGGAGUGCUGGGUGCAUGCUUAUCCCAGGAGCAGCUUUCCCCGCUCUGUAUCCCAACACCUGCUACUGUCUGUCCCC